GUAGGUGGCAAGCGUUGUCCGGAAUUAUUGGGCGUAAAGCGCGCGCAGGCGGUUCUUUAAGUCUGAUGUGAAAGCCCACGGCUCAACCGUGGAGGGUCAUUGGAAACUGGAGAACUUGAGUACAGAAGAGGAAAGCGGAAUUCCACGUGUAGCGGUGAAAUGCGUAGAGAUGUGGAGGAACACAGUGGCGAAGGCGGCUUUCUGGUCUGUAACUGACGCUGAGGCGCGAAAGCGUGGGGAGCAAACAGGGAUUAGAUACCCUGGUAGUCCACGCCGUAAACGAUGAGUGCUAAGUGUUAGGGGGUUUCCGCCCCCUUAGUGCUGCAGCUAACGCAUUAAGCACUCCGCCUGGGGAUACGGCCGCAAGGCUG
rnacentral:rRNA from 1 species